rnacentral:rRNA from 1 species
CCAAUAGCGUAUAUUAAAGUUGUUGCAGUUAAAAAGCUCGUAGUUGAAUUUCGGGAUCAAUAUGUUGGUCGUGCCUUGGUACGUACUGGCAUUAUUGGUUUCUACCUUCUGAAGAACCUCGAUGUCAUUAAUUUGGUGUCUUGGGGAAUCAGGACUGUUACUUUGAAAAAAUUAGAGUGUUUAAAGCAGGCUCGCGCUUGAAUACAUUAGCAUGGAAUAAUGAAAUAGGACGUUUGAUUCUAUUUUGUUGGUUUCUAGGAUUGACGUAAUGAUUAAUAGGGUUAGUUGGGGGCAUUAGUAUUCAAUUGUCAGAGGUGAAAUUCUUGGAUUUAUUGAAGACUAACUACUGCGAAAGCAUUUGCCAAGGAUGUUUUCAUUAAUCAAGAACGAAAGUUAGGGGAUCGAAGACGAUCAGAUACCGUCGUAGUCUUAACCAUAAACUAUGCCGACUAGGGAUCGGAUGAUGUUAAUUUUUUAAUGACUCAUUCGGCGCCUUACG